AUACGGAGGGUGCAAGCGUUAAUCGGAAUUACUGGGCGUAAAGCGCGCGUAGGCGGUUUGGUAAGUCGGAUGUGAAAGCCCCGGGCUCAACCUGGGAAUUGCAUUCGAUACUGCCAGACUAGAGUAUGGUAGAGGGAAGUGGAAUUCCGGGUGUAGCGGUGAAAUGCGUAGAUAUCCGGAGGAACACCAGUGGCGAAGGCGACUUCCUGGACCAAUACUGACGCUGAGGUGCGAAAGCGUGGGGAGCAAACAGGAUUAGAAACCCCUGUAGUCC
rnacentral:rRNA from 1 species